GACCGCGUAGCUCAGUUGGCAGAGCAUUGGGCUGUUAUCCAAAGGUCGUAGGAUCGAAUCCCACCGUGGCCA
rnacentral:tRNA from 1 species